GAUUUCUUGAUUCUUACUCAUCAUUCACUUUCUUUUUCUCUCCACUCCAGUCCAUAACUCUGUCUCUCCAGGGCUUUAUAUGUUGUCAGGCAAUCAAGCGUUUAUUUGGGCCACUCAAUCUGCAGAGCGAGGUCUGAGAUCUAUAGCUAUUCGGACGAGGGUCUGGAUCAAUGCAGGAACGCCA
rnacentral:lncRNA from 1 species